AAAACUCACAGUGGCCAUAAGACUGGAAAAGUUCCGUUAUCAUUCCAGUCCCAAAGAAAGGCAAUGCCAAAGAAUGCUCACUACUGCACAAUUGCACUCAUCUCACAUGCUAGCAAAGUAAUGCUCAAAAUUCUCCAAGCCAGGCUUCAACAAU